GACGAACACUGGCGGCGUGCUUAACACAUGCAAGUCGAACGGAAAGACCCUGCUUUUGUGGGGUGCUCGAGUGGCGAACGGGUGAGUAACACGUGAGUAACCUGCCCUUGACUUUGGGAUAACUUCAGGAAACUGGGGCUAAUACCGGAUAGGAGCUCCUGCUGCAUGGUGGGGGUUGGAAAGUUUCGGCGGUUGGGGAUGGACUCGCGGCUUAUCAGCUUGUUGGUGGGGUAGUGGCUUACCAAGGCUUUGACGGGUAGCCGGCCUGAGAGGGUGACCGGCCACAUUGGGACUGAGAUACGGCCCAGACUCCUACGGGAGGCAGCAGUGGGGAAUAUUGCACAAUGGGCGGAAGUCUGAUGCAGCAACGCCGCGUGCGGGAUGACGGCCUUCGGGUUGUAAACCGCUUUCGCCUGUGACGAAGCGUGAGUGACGGUAAUGGGUAAAGAAGCACCGGCUAACUACGUG
rnacentral:rRNA from 1 species